CCUACGGGUGGCAGCAGUGAGGAAUAUUGGUCAAUGGACGAGAGUCUGAACCAGCCAAGUCGCGUGAAGGAUGACUGCCCUAUGGGUUGUAAACUUCUUUUAUAUGGGAAUAAAAUGUUCCACGUGUGGGAUUUUGUAUGUACCAUAUGAAUAAGGAUCGGCUAACUCCGUGCCAGCAGCCGCGGUAAUACGGAGGAUCCGAGCGUUAUCCGGCUUUAUUGGGUUUAAGGGGAGCGGAGGUGGAUUGUUAAGUCAGUUGUGAAAGUUUGCGGCUCAACCGUAAAAUUGCAGUUGAAACUGGCAGUCUUGAGUACAGUAGAGGUGGGCGGAAUUCGUGGUGUAGCGGUGAAAUGCUUAGAUAUCACGAAGAACUCCGAUUGCGAAGGCAGUUCACUGGACUGCAACUGACACUGAGGCUCGAAAGUGUGGGUAUCAAACAGGAUUAGAUACCCCUGUAGUC
rnacentral:rRNA from 1 species